UACGGGGGGGGCAAGCGUUGUUCGGAAUUACUGGGCGUAAAGGGCUCGUAGGUGGCCAACUAAGUCAGACGUGAAAUCCCUCAGCUUAACUGGGGAACUGCGUCUGAUACUGGAUGGCUUGAGUUUGGGAGAGGGAUGCGGAAUUCCAGGUGUAGCGGUGAAAUGCGUAGAUAUCUGGAGGAACACCGGUGGCGAAGGCGGCAUCCUGGACCAACACUGACGCUGAGGUGCGAAAGCGUGGGGAGCAAACAGG
rnacentral:rRNA from 1 species